rnacentral:rRNA from 1 species
CAGCGGGUUGUCUGCCCCUUCUCUUGGUGCUGGCCUUUUGGAGUGCGGUGUUUUACGUUGCUAUUCAUUUUAUCACCAAGUUUUGGUGAUUGAGGAGUUUUGUUAUGACUAUGACCGUUGAUAUGACCGAUGCCGACCUGCUUCGGUACCUGAUCGAAACCGCCGAUGUCCCGUCGGCCGCUGAGAUAGCCUACACCGCUGGCUAUUUCGAAUCCACCCUGUUGUCGCUGAUGGCUCGGUUCCCCGAAGUCCGUGCAGAGAUUGAAUCGCGUGUUGACUUUCGCCGGGCAUCCAGUUAUGUCUGAGCGUGAAAUCAUCGAUGUAAUGUGGUUCUGUGCUGGUCAUGGUAACGUAGGUGUUGUGCAGGUCAAAGACCCAUAUGAUGGUUACCUAUACUACAUUGGACAGUGUAGUGGCCUCGAUGUUGAGGCUGAUACGAAGUGGAUUGCAGAUUGGGGUAGUAGGUUCCCCACGGCUGCGGGUGAAGCAUUGUUUGAAGGAAUUUGAUUAUGACUAAGAUUGUUAUGAUUACUCGUUUUCGGCGAUAUACGGUCGGAGACUAAGCGAAAGUGAUAAGUAAUCCACCUGGGGAGUACGAUCGCAAGGUUGAAACUCAAAGGAAUUGACGGGGGCCCGCACAAGCGGUGGAUGAUGUGGUUUAAUUCGAUGAUACGCGAGGAACCUUACCAAGGCUUAAAUGGGAAAUGACAGGUUUAGAAAUAGACUUUUCUUCGGACAUUUUUCAAGGUGCUGCAUGGUUGUCGUCAGCUCGUGCCGUGAGGUGUUAGGUUAAGUCCUGCAACGAGCGCAACCCCUGUCACUAGUUGCCAUCAUUAAGUUGGGGACUCUAGUGAGACUGCCUACGCAAGUAGAGAGGAAGGUGGGGAUGACGUCAAAUCAUCACGGCCCUUACGCCUUGGGCCACACACGUAAUACAAUGGCCGGUACAGAGGGCAGCUACACUGCGAAGUGAUGCAAAUCUCGAAAGCCGGUCUCAGUUCGGAUUGGAGUCUGCAACUCGACUCUAUGAAGCUGGAAUCGCUAGUAAUCGCGCAUCAGCCAUGGCGCGGUGAAUACGUUCCCGGGCCUUGUACACACCGCCCGUCAAACAAUGGAAGCUCUAUCGUGACUGGGAAACAGAUCGGAAGAGCACACGUCUG